UUCAUACUACUCACUCAAUACCUUCCCCUCUCUGUCUAUUUCUCUCUUACAAAUCCCAUUCUUCAACUUGCGCAGCCACUGCCCAGUUGUUGUGGUUGCUGAUGCCGCUGCCACUGCUAGCCACUGCCCAGCUUUCGCCCCUCCUUCUCCAUCUCCUAAGAAUUCUAGGUUUGAAUUAUAACUUAUUUCUUUUGUGUAUAAAUUUAAUGUUUUGUUAAUUAGUUAUGAAUUUAGUUAAUUAGUAUUUUAAUUGAUUAUUUAACUUUGCAUUUUAUUGAAAUCUACGGUUUAGGCCUUGUUUUAAUUGAAUUGAUUACAUAUUGUAUAAAUUAAAUGUUUAAGUUUGUAUUGUUUAGAAUAGUUUAGUCAGGAUUGAAUGAGUAACUUUGAAUUAAAUUUAGUUUUUAGGAUUUGUUCUUGUGAAUCGAACUUUUAGGAUAUGUGUUGAACUUUUAAGAUAUAAAUUAAACUUUUUGGAUAUAAAUUGAACUUUUUGGAUAUGAAUUUAAUUUUUAGGAACAUUUAGAGGAAGUUAAUCAUCCAUUACGUGAAGGAAGUCCGCAUUGUGAGUUGUCUGUUGCAGUUAGAUUACUAAGUAUUAAAUCUGAUUGGAAUCUUUCUCAAGCAGCCAUAGACUCUUUCAUUGACCUUAUGAGUGAACUAGUUGACCCAAAUAUCAAUUCACCAUGUGAUUUCUAUAAGACAAAGAAAUUGGUUUCUAAGUUAGGACUUUUGUCAAUAAGAAUUAAUUGUUUUGAAGAUAGUUGCACGUUAUAUUAUAAAGAUGAUGCAACUUUAGAAAGUUAUAGAUUUUACGAAAAGCCUCAUUUCAAGAGGCUUUCCAGCGGGAAUAUGGUGAGUGUAAAGGUGAUGCAUUAGUUACCCUUAUACCUGGGUUAAAGAGAUUAUAUGUAUCGAUGAGUUCUGCUUCUCAUAUGGGAUGACACUUUGAAAAUAGAAGACCACUUGGUGUUAUGUGUCAUCCUUCAAAUGGAGAGGAUUGGAAGCACUUUGAUAGGACAUAUCUAGAUUAUGCUAAUUAACCAAGGAACAUUCAGCUAGGUUUAUGUGUGCAUGGCUCCAUGCCUUUUACUAUACCUGCGACACCAUAUUCAUGCUGGCCCGUUUGAGUGAUAUGGAAUACAAGUCAACUACAAUUUAUGUGUUGCUAAAUUAUCCUGAAGAUGUGCCAUUUCUCAAGUACGUAAUUAUUUGUUAGUUAUCAAAAUGUAUAAUUUAUUAUGAUUACAUAUUUAUGCAACUACUAAAAAUUUUUGAUGAGUUACUGUCACUUCUUGGGUCAAUUUGGUCAUGAUGUUGUAUAUACGAGAUUUGAUACGUGGUUCAAACAGUUUGUAAAUUUAUCCUAAUAAUGUCCUUCUUAUGUUCCCGCUAUAUAUUUAUAUUCGGUUAUGCUAACUUAUGAAUUUUUUUAACACUAUGUAAGUAAAUAAUUCAAAUAAUGAUGUAAAUCAAAUUUUGAAAGAUAUAUCUUGGGGACCUGGGCUUCAGGUCACAACAGUGUCAUAGUAGGAUUGAAUGGUUAUAAGUUUCAUAUAGAGGAUUGCUCUAAAAAUAAAAAUAGCAAUAACAGUGGGGUGUGGGUUCAAGGUGGUGAUGGCAACCAAGUUAGAGAUUUUGAUUAUUAUUGUGUGGUCAAAAAAUAUUACAACUAGAAUAUACAAUUGGCCAUAUAAGAAAUUGAUACUCUUUAGAUGCAAGUGGUUUGACCUAAAUCUAACAAGAGGUACAAGAGUACACCACCUAUACAACAUAAUUGAGGUUAAUUAUACGAUGGAGUAUGAUCGUUAUGAUCCUUUUAUAAUUGCACAUAACGUUAGUCAAGUGUAUUAUGCUCCUUAUCAAUUGCGGCGGUAUAAGCUCGAUUGGUGGGCUGUAAUAAAAACUAAGUUGUACGUAGGGUGAAAGUCGAGAAUAUAUUAGAUGUUGCAUAUCAGAACGAUAUCUCUAGUGUUCACCAAAUAGUAGACAAUCAGUCAGAAAAUGAUUUGGAAUAUCCUAAACGCAUAUUGGACAAAGUUGAUAUAAAAGAAGUAACAGUUAUAGAAAAUGAGGAUAAAAAAUAAACUGAUGAAACUCAAACAAUUGGCUAUUGUACAACAUAAUAUGAUCUCCAACUUUAAAAUCUUUAUGACAGAUGAGCUUGUCAUGCCACUUUUUUGUCUUUUCCUUGUACAAUUUAGUAUUUUCUUAUGCUAUAAGUCGAAACUCUUCCAACUCAUCAAGCUGUAAUAGACGAUUUUUACCUGCAUUUGGUAAGAUUAAUUCAACAAUUUUAUAGCCCGAUAUGCUUUAUGUUCUAAUUCCACAGGUAAAUGAUAAGUUUUUCCAAAAACUAGUCUAUACGGAGAUGUACAUGUUGGAGUUUUUUAAGCAGUUCUGUACGCCCAUAAAGCAUCAUCCAAUUUAAAGACCAAUAUUUUCGAGAAGAACUAACAGUUUUUUCUAAAAUUCUUUCUAAUUCUCUGUUGGAAACUUCUACUUGCCCGCUUGUUUGAGCGUGGUAUGAAGUUCCUAUUUUAUGAGUUACUCCAUAUUUUAACAACAAACUAGCAAAUUGUCUAUUUAUAAAAUGAGUUCCUUGAUCACUUAUUAUUACUCGCAGAGUUCCAAAUCUAGAAAAUAUAUUUUUCUUGAGAAAAGUACAAACAAUAUGAGCAUCAUUUUUUCAAGUAGCAUUUGCUUCUACCCAUUUUGAAAUAUAGUCAACAACAACUAAAAUAUAUUCACAGCCGUUUGAAGGAGGAAAAGGACCCAUAAAAUCAAUACCUCAAACAUCAAAUAUUUAACAAACAAGGAUAGAAUUAAGAGGCAGCUCAUCCCUUUUUGAAACGUUACCACUUUUCUAACAUUUGUCGCAAGUGGCAACAUAAUUUCUUGCGCCUUUGAAUAAAGUAGGCCAAUAAAAUCCAACUUCAAGUACUUUAGCUGAUGUCUUUCGUCCUCCAUAGUGUCCUCCUAUAGCUCCAUCAUGGCAAUGACUUAAAAUAUUGUUCAUUUUAGUUUCAGGUACACAUCUCCUGAUUAUAUCAUCUGCAUAAAAUUUAAACAAAUAAGGAUAUUCCCAGUAAUAAUGUUUUGUCUCUUUUCUAAGUUUUUUUCUUUGAUCGUAAGAAAAAUAUUUUGGAAUCCACCCUCCUGCUAACUAAUUGGCAAUAUCAACAAACCAAAUAGGUUUAUUUACAACUGUUGCAACAAAAAAGGUCAUCUGAAAAACCCUCUUGGAUAUCUAGUAUUCAAUAAGAGGAUUCUCUAAAUGUGACAAAUAAUUAACUACCUAAUUUUCUGAAUCUUUUCUAUCUUUUAUUUCGAGAUCAAAUUCUUACAAAAGGAGUAUCCAUCUUAGCAAUCUAGGUCUAGAAUCUUUCUUUGUUAAUAGAUACUUUAAGGCUGUGUGAUUAAUAAAUACUAUAACCUUUGUUCCUAUCAAAGAAGAACAAGAAUUGUCAAACGCCAAUACUACUACCAAUAACUCCUUCUCGGUUGCUACAUAAUUCAUUUGAGCUUCAUUGAGGGUUCUGCUGGCAUAUUAUACGAGUCUAAAGAUUUUAUUUUUAUUUUGCCACAAUGUUGCUCCUACUGCUAUAUCACUUACAUCACACAUUAUUUCCAAUGGCUGGCUCCAAUCAGGAGAGACAACAAUUUGAGCAUUAGUCAAUUGUUCUUUGAGAAACUCAAAUGCUUUUCUGCAAUUAUCUGAAAAUUCAAAUUUCACAUCUUUCAUCAGUAGGUUAGUCAGAGGUUUUGAAAUUUUUGAAGUCUUUUAUAAACCUUUUAUAAAAUCUUGCAUGCUCUAAGAAACUUCUAAUACCUUUAACAGUGAUGGUAUGGGGUAAUCCUGCUAUAAGAUCAAUUGUAGUUUUAUCAACUUCUAUUAUUUUAGCAGUGAUUUUAUGUCUUAAAACAAUUCCCUCUGUUAUUUCCCAAUUAAGAACUAGAUUUGUCUCUUCACAUCUUUUAAGAACCAAAGUUAAAUGAUAGAGACAAUCUUCAAAUGUCUUACCAAAAAGUGUGAAAUCAUCUAUGAAAAUUUCAAGAAACCUUUCAAUCGUAUCUGAGAAAAUUGCCGACAUGCAACGCUAAAAUGUAGCAGGAGUAUUACAUAGUCCAAAUGGCAGUCUUCUGUAAGCAUACAUCCCUUGGGGGCGUGUGAAUGUGGUUUUAUCCUGAUCUUCUAGAGAAAUUGGUAUCUGAUUAUACCCAAAAUAUCCGUCAAGAAAACAAUAAAAAUUAUGGCAUGCAAUUCUUUCAAGCAUUUUGUCAAUAAAAGGCAAAGGAAAAUGAUCCUUCCUCGUGGCAUCAUUAAGUCGUUUGUAAUUAAUACAGAAUCUCCAUCCUGUGACUGUUCUAGAAAUCAUCCAUGAAAAUUUCAAGAAACUUUUCAGUCAUAUCUGAGAAAAAUGCUGACAUGCAACGCUGAAAUGUAGCAUGAGCAUUACAUAGUCGAAGUGGCAUUCUUUUGUAAGCAUACGUACCUUGGGGGCAUGUGAAUGUUGUUUUCUCCUUAUCUUCUAGAGCAAUUGGUAUCUGAUUAUACCCAGAAUAUCCGUCAAGAAAACAAUAAAAACUACGGCCUGCAAUUCUUUCAAGCAUUUGGUCAAUUAAAGGAAAAGGAAAAUGAUCCUUCGCUGUGGCAUCAUUAAGUCAUGUGUAAUCAAUGCAGACUCCCCAUCCUGUGACUGUUCUAGUAGGUAUGAGUUCACUAUUUUUAUUUUUUAUUAUGGUCAUACCUCAUUUCUUUGGUACUACCUGUACAGAACUUACCCAAAGGCUAUCAAAUAUUGGAUAAAUGAUACCUUCCGCUAGAAGUUUCACCACUUCUUCCUUGAUAACUUCUUGCAUUGCUGGAUUCAGUCUCCUUUGUGGUUGGACUAUUGAUUUGUAAUUUUCUUCCAUGAGGAUCCUAUGCAUACAAGAAGCUGGAUUGAUUCCCUUGAUGUCUGUUAUAGUCCACCCUAAAGCUCUUUUAUGUUUUCUCAAGAUCUCGAUCAGUUUGUAUUCCUGUUCUUGAGUCAAACAAGAUGAAAUCAUUACUGAAAAUAAUUCAGGUUCAAGAAACACAUAUUUUAAAUGAGAAGGAAGAUUUUUGAGUUCAAUUUUUUAUUGAACUACUUCUUGUGAGAUUUUCUCGUUUUCUGAUUCUUUUUCCAAUGUUUCAACUUCUUCUCUGAUCGUGGAAUUUUUAUCACUUGUGGUACCUGACCUGACUAAUCAUCUUUCUAAUGAAUUAGUAAUUAAUUGGUUAUCCUUGAAUUUAUCUACCAGGUCAUCUAGUAAGUCAAUUUGAAAACAAGAUGAUGAUGACUGAUUCCCAGGAAAUUUCAUCAAUUUUAUGCAUAUAAAAAAUUACUCUCUCCUCACCAACUCACAAUAUUAAUUGUCCUUGAUGAACAUCAAUGAUCGCUCUUCAUGUUGAGAAAAAUGGUCUACCUAAAAUUAAUGAUACCUUAGCAUUUUGUUCCAUUUCAAGUACUAUAAAAUCUAUUGGGAAUACAAAUUUAUCUACUCUAACGAGGACACUUUCUAUUAUUCCUUGGACCUUUUUGUACUUUGAUCAGCUAACUGACGAGACACACAAGUAUCUUUCAUUUCACCAAGUUCUAAUUUCCUAAAGAUUGAGAAAGGCAUUAGAUUUAUUGAAGCACCCGAAUCACAUAAUGCUUUUUAAAAAUGAGCACCUCCCAUAGGACAAGGAAUUGUAAAACUCCUUGGAUCGCCAAGUUUCUGUGGAAGCUUAUUUUGAAGUAUAGCAAUACAUUUCUCUGUAAGCUUAACAACUGGAACUUCUUCCACUCUUCUUUUACUUGACAAAAUUUCUUUGAAAAAUUUAGCAUGUGAAGGCAUUUGUGUCAAAGCUUCAGUGAAAGGUAUGUUAAUAUAUAAAGUUGCUUUAAAAUAUCUAGAAACUUUGUAAAUUGUUUGUCAAGAUUUUCUCUUUUCAUUUUUUUGGGAAAAGGGAGAGGUGCAGAGUGAAGAUUUGUUAUCAAUUCAUUUUCUUGUACAUUUUUUCCUUUAUGCUUUUGUUCUUUUAGAAGUUUAGAGUCUCUUUUAUUCUCACCUUCUUUACUUGUUCCAUUUCUUGUGGUUUUCCUUGUCUAUCAAUAUAUGGAUCAUCAAGAGUAUUACCUAACCCUAGAGAGAUGGCUUUGAUGUGUUCCUUUAGAUUUUUCUCGGUGUUACUUGGUAGAGAACCUUUUAUUUGUUCAGACAUGAGGUUUGCUAAUUGGCUUACCUGAAUUUUCAAAUUCUUGAUAGCUGAAUGUUGACUUUCAACCUUCUCGUCAGUAGCUCUAAUGAAUUUGUACAUCAUGUCUUCAAGGCUUUGUUGAUGAGAUCUUUGAGGCUGUUGCUGAUAUUGUUGAAAAUUCUGUUGCCCUCACUUUUGAUUUUGAAAACCAGGUGGUCCCUGAUCCUGCUACUUCUGAUUAAAAAAACUUUGAGGAUUUUCAACUCCAUUAGGAUUACUCCAUUGAAAUCCUGGAUGUUUUUGUGCCAUGGGACUACCAAAUGAGAAAUUAUUUCUAUAACCAAUUAAAUUUACAUGUUCCUCAUUUUGCGUUAAAAUCUUGACAUUAAUGAUUCGGAUGAUUACUUUUACAAAUAUCCCAAUUCUCAAGUUGGGAUGAUAAUCGAGCAUUUACCUGGAAUGUCUCAACUUUUUGUGUUAGAGAUGCAAUUUGUUGCGCUAGUGAAUUCCAGGCUUCAACCUGAUUGACUCUUGCUACUUUCUUAACAAUCAUUAUGUCAGAGGGUCAUUGAACAACAUUUUCUGAAAUUUCAUUGAGCAAUUGCAUGGCUUCUGUAGUAGUUUUGCCCAUUAUGGAUCCUCCUGAUGAUACAUCAAUAAUACCAGAGGGUUUAAGACCAUGAUAAAAAAAUAUAAAAUAUCAUAAUAUUGGAUACCAUGGUGCGGCCAUUUUCUUAGCAUUGAUUUUACUCGUUCGCAUGCUUGGUAUACAGAUUCAGUAUCUGUUUACACAAAAUUAUUGAUUUCUUGCUUCAUUUUAAAUGUUUUUACAGGUGAAAAAUAUUUAUUAAGAAAUUUUUGAGUCAUUUGGUCCCAUGUAGUGAUUGAACCUCUCAGCAGACUUCACAACCAUAUUUUGGCUUCACUUUUUAAAGAAAAAGUAAAAAGCCGCAACCUGAUAGCGUCUGUUAUGACUCCAUUAUACCUGCAAGUUUUAACUAAUUCCAGAAAAUCAAUUAGAUGGAUGUAAGGAUCUUCACUCGCAUCACCAGUAAAUUGACACGACUGUUGAAUGGUUUGAAUCAAGCAUGUCCGGGUUUCAAAGUUUUUGCUGCAAUUAGUGGUCUCCUCACACUUGAUUCUCCUUCAAAAUGAUUUGGUCUUGCAUAAUUACGGAGUACUCUAUCACGUCGUGGUGCCACUUCAUCAAACUGUUCUUCUACUUGAUGUGGUGGGAGUUGGUUGUUGUUAUUAAGUUCUUCGUUCUCCUUUUUUUCUUGUGAAGAAAUUUGAUAUUGUGAAACCUGCCCUUUUUGUAACAACUGCAAGG
rnacentral:lncRNA from 1 species